AGAAGAAGAGAAGCAGAGAGAUGGCUGUGUGAGGAGGUCUUGUCCUGAUGUUGCUGACGUUGGAGAUGGGAGAAGGUGACCAGCCAAGGAAGCAGGUGGCCUCUAAAAGCUGGACAAGGCAUCUUCAGAAACAGUCACCAGAUUUUUUUUCGAGCAAGUAAGCUGGCAGUGCUAUGGAAUGAACUUUGACCACCUCUAUCAUUUCCAAGUUAUCAAGGAAUAAUGCUGUAAAUGUACAUAGAUGAUUCAGAGGAGGAGAACACUAAAUUUUAGAGAAGAGAGAACCAGACUUUGUGCCUGAAAGAGCUGGGAGCAGAAGAAGCACACUCAGAGUUGACCAGAAAGGACUGGAAUAGCUAAAGAAGGGCAUAUGUUUGAAACUCAAAUGACUCUGGGAUAAGAAAACAAUCCAUAGUGUUAAGGAUACAUACAAAAUAUUCCAUCUGAUUCUGUUUCCACAGCAAAUUUUUUUAACAUUAUAUUGUUCUAUAUUUAAUUAGAUUAUAUCUUGAAAGCAUGCUUUCAAGUGGAGAAACAUUGUCCAUUUUUGCUGGCCUACUAGUUCUGUACAUAUGAAUGACAAUUUGUAAUAAUUAGGGGCUUUAACUAUGCAAGGAUUAUAAUGUGAUGUAUCCUUAUAUACAUAAACUCACAAUUCUCAUAGGGUCUUGUAAUCCUUUCCCAACACUGGGCUGUGUAUCCACAGGGAGCAUUUCUUUCCUUACAAGUAGCAAAUGUGAAGUGCAAAUUACUGAUGAGCUUGAGCAAAACAAACUUAAAUCUGUGCCUUUACUUUGUGAUUUCACCCUGCCGCCUCCACAGGCGUGCCCUCCACAUCCUGAUCUUUUGUUGCUGUUGCUAUUUUGUGAGAUGUAAAAGCUAUUGCAGAAAUUAUCAUACAUUGAGUGAAUCUAAUCACUGGAAAAUACUCUCAGCCAUGUAGUUCAAUAUUUCAGUGACAAGAAAAAAUUUCCAACUUCUGGAGAAUGCAAGAGAGUAGUCCCCACUCCCUCCUCCCACCAUAUGCCUGAAGUUAAGACCCUUUUAUUCUCUCAUACUUUAAGUUAAUUAUUAGCUGUUUCUCUGACUUAAUAUAAAAGUCUAAAUCUAGUUUUCUAGA